CAUGGAGUUUGAUCCUGGCUCAGAUUGAACGCUGGCGGAAUGCUUUACACAUGCAAGUCGAACGGUAGAGGGGGCAACCCCUCGAGAGUGGCGAACGGGUGAGUAAUAUAUCGGAACGUGCCCAGUCGUGGGGGAUAACGUAGUGAAAAUUACGCUAAUACCGCAUACGAUCUAUGGAUGAAAGCGGGGGAUCGCAAGACCUCGCGCGACUGGAGCGGCCGAUAUCAGAUUAGGUAGUUGGUGAGGUAAAGGCUCACCAAGCCAACGAUCUGUAGCUGGUCUGAGAGGACGACCAGCCACACUGGAACUGAGACACGGUCCAGACUCGUACGGGAGCAGCAGUGGGGUAAUUUGGACAAUGGGCGAAAGCCUGAUCCCAGCCCAUG
rnacentral:rRNA from 1 species